CUGGCGGCGUGCCUAAUACAUGCAAGUCGAAUGGUAGCAAUACCAUGGCGAACGGGUGAGUAACGACGUAGGUAACCUGUCUUUAAGACGAGGAUAACCGUUGGAAACGACGGAUAAUACUCGAUAGGUGAUUUGAGGGCAUCCUUGGAUCAUUAAAGAUUUAUCACUUAGAGAGGGGCCUGCGGCGCAUUAGCUAGAUGGCGGUGUAAUGGACCACCAUGGCGAUGAUGCGUAGCCGGACUGAGAGGUUGAACGGCCACAAUGGAACUGAGAACGGUCCAUACUCCUACGGGAGGCAGCAGUAGGGAAUUUUCGGCAAUGGGCGAAAGCCUGACCGAAGCAACGCCGCGUGAACGAAGAAGUAUUUCGGUAUGUAAAGUUCUUUUAUCGGGGAAGAAAAAUAUUCAAAUUGACGGUACCUGAUGAAUAAGCUCCGGCUAACUACGUGCCAGCAGCUGC
rnacentral:rRNA from 1 species